rnacentral:rRNA from 1 species
CUACAAAGGAAUUGACGGGGCCGCACAAGCGGUGGAGCAUGUGGUUAAUUCGAAGCAACGCGAAGAACCUUACCAGGUCUUGACAUCCCGAUGCUAUUUCUAGAGAUAGAAAGUUACUUCGGUACAUCGGUGACAGGUGGUGCAUGGUUGUCGUCAGCUCGUGUCGUGAGAUGUUGGGUUAAGUCCCGCAACGAGCGCAACCCUCGACCUUAGUUGCCAGCAUUCAGUUGGGCACUCUAAGGUGACUGCCGGCUAAAAGUCGGAGGAAGGUGGGGAUGACGUCAAAUCAUCAUGCCCCUUAUGACCUGGGCUACACACGUGCUACAAUGGGCGGUACAAAGGGUCGCGAACCCGCGAGGGGGAGCCAAUCCCAAAAAGCCGCUCUCAGUUCGGAUUGCAGGCUGCAACUCGCCUGCAUGAAGCCGGAAUCGCUAGUAAUCGCGGAUCAGCAUGCCGCGGUGAAUACGUUCCCGGGCCUU